GACGAACGCUGGCGGCGUGCCUAACACAUGCAAGUCGAGCGGAGGGAGUUCUUCGGUGCGAACCUAUCGGCGGACGGGUGAGUAACACGUGGGCAACCUGCCUUGAGGAGGGGGAUAACAAGAUUAAAGUCCUUCUAAUACCUCAUAACUCGGAGCUGUUGCAUGAUGGUAUCGGCAAGGGAGCAAUGCGCCUCGAGAUGGGCCUGCGGCGCAUUAGCUAGUUGGUGGGGUAACGGCCUACCCAGGCGACGAUGCGUAGCCGAACUGAGAGGGUGAUCGGACAGAGUGGAACUGAGACACGGUACAGACUCCGACGGGAGGCAGCAGUGGGGAAUAUUGCACAAUGGGCGAAAGCCUGAUGCAGCAACGCCGCGUGAGCGAGGAAGGCCGUCGGGUUGUAAAGCUCUGUCUUCGCUGACGAAAACUGACGGUAAGCGAGGAGAAAGCCACGGCUAACUACGUG
rnacentral:rRNA from 1 species